GCCUAGUUAGCUUGGAAGGCAGUGCGUCUGCCUUGUAAGCGCUAGGUCGCGGGUUCGAUUCCCGCCUGGGGCG
rnacentral:tRNA from 1 species